AAUUGUGCGCCGCCCUAUGGAACUCCCAAUCAUGGCCGGUUGUGAUACAGCCUGGAAUUUAACCAGGGUCUGUAGUGACGCCUCUAGCAUGAAGAUGCAGUGCCUUAGACCGCUGCACCACUCGGAAGCCCAAGGUUAGGUAGGCUAAGGUUACUUUUAAUAAGCAUCUUGGCAAGCCAGCUAAGUCUUACAAAUAAACAUUCAUGCCAAAUAGAGAUAAAUACCCAACCUGACAUUGGCAAUUAGCUAUUUGUUACUUUUAUUUCAGUAUUUUAGUUUGUAGUCACAAUCAAAUGUAUUUAUAAAGCCCUUUUUACAUCAGCCGAUGUCACAAAGUGCUAUACAGAAACCUAGCCUAAAACCCCUAACAGCAAGCAAUGCAGAUGUAGAAGCACGGUGGCUCUGAAAAACUCCCUAAAAUGGUAGGAUUCAAGGAAGAAACCUAGAGAGGAACCAGGCUCUGAGGGGUGGCCAUCGAACCAACUUGACACGAUUGUGGGAAGAAUCUGGAGUCAUCAUGGACCAGCAUCCCUGUGGAACAUUUGACCACUUGUAGAGCCCAUUCACCCAAACACUGAGGCUGUUCUGAGGGCAAAAGGGGAGGGGGGAGUGCAACUCAAUAUUAGUAAGGUAUUCCUACUGUUUGGUUUAGCAUAUGUUUUACUCAUUGUAAGUAAGAAUUGGUUCUUAACUAGGAGCUGAGGAGCUGCAGGAGAAAUCCAUCUCAAAAUCGUCUCUGUAUGCUGUGCACGUGUGAUAGCUGUGUUGGAUACCUAAGAUGCAUGGUGACUUGUGAAAAUACACACAGGACACAGGAUUUAAUUCCCCUAAAUGAUGUACAUUAACCCGUGAGAGGACUAUGUUUCAUGGAGGCAGACUGGACUGAAUGUUGCUGAUCUCUGUUGAAUGCGCGUGAUGGGCAGUGGACUAAGAGGAGCAAGCAGCCAGGCAACAACCCAGACUGUACUGUUCCAUAGAGAAGUCAGCCAGAGUUGGUGUCAACAUUGACGUGGGCCAACAUUCAAAGAAAGAGACGCCUGCCUGGCAAACCAGUGCAUAUUUCCAAACUGUGCAUGUUUGCAUUAACUGAUUUAUUUUUGUUUGGGUAUGAAUGUAAUGAUAAUAAAAUCUCAAAAUGA